rnacentral:rRNA from 1 species
GAUGAACGCUGGCGGCGUGCCUAAUACAUGCAAGUCGAGCGACCGGACGAGAAGCUUGCUCUUCUGAUUUUAGCGGCGGACGGGUGAGUAACACGUGGAUAACCUCCCUUUAAGACUGGGAUAACUUCGGGAAACCGGAGCUAAUACCGGAUAAUAUUUUGACCCGCAUGGUUCAAAAGUGAAAGACGGUUUUGCUGUCACUUAUAGAUGGAUCCGCGCUGCAUUAGCUAGUUGGUAAGGUAACGGCUUACCAAGGCAACGAUGCAUAGCCGACCUGAGAGGGUGAUCGGCCACACUGGAACUGAGACACGGUCCAGACUCCUACGGGAGGCAGCAGUAGGGAAUCUUCCGCAAUGGGCGAAAGCCUGACGGAGCAACGCCGCGUGAGUGAUGAAGGUCUUCGGAUCGUAAAACUCUGUUAUUAGGGAAGAACAUAUGUGUAAGUAACUGUGCACAUCUUGACGGUACCUAAUCAGAAAGCCACGGCUAACUACGUG